rnacentral:rRNA from 1 species
AUGAACGCUGGCGGCGUGCCUAAUACAUGCAAGUCGAGCGAACAGAUAAGGAGCUUGCUCCUUUGACGUUAGCGGCGGACGGGUGAGUAACACGUGGGUAACCUACCUAUAAGACUGGGAUAACUUCGGGAAACCGGAGCUAAACCCGGAUAAUAUUUCGAACCGCAUGGUUCGAUAGUGAAAGAUGGGUUUGCUAUCACUUAUAGAUGGACCCGCGCCGUAUUAGCUAGGUGGUAAGGUAACGGCUUACCAAGGCGACGAUACGUAGCCGACCUGAGAGGGUGAUCGGCCACACUGGAACUGAGACACGGUCCAGACUCCUACGGGAGGCAGCAGUAGGGAAUCUUCCGCAAUGGGCGAAAGCCUGACGGAGCAACGCCGCGUGAGUGAUGAAGGUCUUCGGAUCGUAAAACUCUGUUAUUAGGGAAGAACAUACGUGUAAGUAACUGUGCACGUCUUGACGGUACCUAAUCAGAAAGCCACGGCUAACUACGU